UACGUAGGGGGCUAGCGUUGUCCGGAUUUAUUGGGCGUAAAGAGCGUGUAGGCGGCCAGGUAGGUCCGUUGUGAAAACUCGAGGCUCAACCUCGAGAUGUCGGCGGAAACCGUCUGGCUAGAGUCCGGAAGAGGAGAGUGGAGUUCCUGGUGUAGCGGUGAAAUGCGCAGAUAUCAGGAAGAACACCUAUGGCGAAGGCAGCUCUCUGGGACGGUACUGACGCUGAGACGCGAAAGCGUGGGGAGCGAACAGG
rnacentral:rRNA from 1 species